UACAGAGGUCCCAAGCGUUGUUCGGAUUCACUGGGCGUAAAGGGUGCGUAGGCGGGUCUUUUAAGUCAGGGGUGAAAUCCUGGAGCUCAACUCCAGAACUGCCUUUGAUACUGAAGAUCUUGAGUUUCGGGAGAGGUGAGUGGAACUGCGAGUGUAGAGGUGAAAUUCAUAGAUAUUCGCAAGAACACCAGUGGCGAAGGCGGCUCACUGGCCCGAUACUGACGCUGAGGUGCGAAAAGCGUGGGGGAGCAAACAGG
rnacentral:rRNA from 1 species